UACGGAGGGUGCAAGCGUUAUCCGGAUUCACUGGGUUUAAAGCGUGCGCAGGCGGUGAUGUAAGACAGUUGUGAAAUCCCCGGGCUCAACCUGGGAACUGCAUCUGUGACUGCAUCGCUGGAGUGCGGCAGAGGGGGAUGGAAUUCCGCGUGUAGCAGUGAAAUGCGUAGAUAUGCGGAGGAACACCGAUGGCGAAGGCAAUCCCCUGGGCCUGCACUGACGCUCAUGCACGAAAGCGUGGGGAGCAAACAGG
rnacentral:rRNA from 1 species